CCUACGGGUGGCAGCAGUCGAGAAUCAUUCACAAUGGGGGAAACCCUGAUGGAGCGAUGCCGCGUGAGGGAAUGAAGGUCUUCGGAUUGUAAACCCCUGUCAUGUGGGAGCAAAUGAACAAGACAGUACCACAAGAGGAAGAGACGGCUAACACUGUGCCAGCAGCCGCGGUAAUACAGAGGUCUCAAGCGUUGUACGGAAUCACUGGGCGUAAAGCGUGCGUAGGCUGUUUCGCAAGUCGUGUGUGAAAGUCCGGGGCUCAACCCCGGGACUGCACAUGAUACUGGGGGGUUAGAGUGACGGAGGGGGAGGAGGAAUGCGUGGUGUAGCAGUGAAAUGCAUAGAUAUCGAGCGGAACACUCGUGGCGAAGGCGGGUGACGGGUC
rnacentral:rRNA from 1 species